CAAAAGACAGAAACUCACUAACAGCAUCCUGCUGGAGCAGGGUUGGACUAGAUCAGAGGUCUCCAACCUUGGCUACUUUAAGACUUGUGGACUUCAACUCCCAGAGUUCCUCAGCCAGCAUUUCACCCCUGAUUACAGGAAGCGCCUAAAUGUGCCUCAUAGGAAUAUGAAGUCAUAAAUCGCCUGGACACUGGAAAAAAGUGAGAAUUUGCAAAGCAGCGCACUUUUAUGUUGCAGAAUCAGUUACAGUAAUGAAAGCAGGGAAAAGAAGCAAAGAAGAAAAGAGAAAAUAAGACAACAAGAGCUUACUAAACUAACUCUGAGAGACGUUGCGAAUCAAAACUACGGACUGGAGUUCAUUUCAACCAUAAACUUAGAAGCGAUGGUCAGCUCUUAAACAUUUGUAUGCUGUUCUCUUCCCAUCUAUUCUAAGCUCUGAAGGCAGGGGCAUAUCUGAGGUCAUAGAAUGUCCUGACAAAGGAGAUGCUUCAAGUACAUCGAUCCCAGGCUGCACGGCUUUAGAGAAAAAUAUCUCUGAAAUGAUGACCUACAGUUCAUGGGUUGUCUAGUAUACGGAUAUAAAACUGCUGUCCAAAGCAUUAUCCAUACACAGUAAUCAGAAAUUACAUCUCUGCAAUUGUCUUCAGCUUUGCUGGCUGAGGAAUUCUGGGAGUUGAAGUCCACAAGCCUUAAUGUUGCCAAGGUUGGAGAGCCCUGCUCAAGAGGGCCAGGUUUUGUAUGGCCAUUUAAAGUACUCCAUAACUGUAACCAUUUUUGUUUUUGGCUCUACAAAUACACAGAGUGACAAAAAU